rnacentral:rRNA from 1 species
UACAGAGGUCUCAAGCGUUGUUCGGAUUUACUGGGCGUAAAGGGCGCGUAGGCGGCGUGACAAGUCACUUGUGAAAUCUCCGGGCUUAACCCGGAGCGGCCAAGUGAUACUGUCGUGCUAGAGUGCGGAAGGGGCUACUGGAAUUCUCGGUGUAGCGGUGAAAUGCGUAGAUAUCGAGAGGAACACCUGCGGCGAAGGCGGGUAGCUGGGCCGACACUGACGCUGAGGCGCGAAAGCCAGGGGAGCGAACGGG